rnacentral:misc_RNA from 1 species
GAAGAAAGAGAGAAAGAGGAAAUCAUCGAAUGAUCAAAACCCCCACUCUCAAUUCUCAACAACGCUCUCCAUCUUUCAACUUCCUCUUUCCCUUUCUCUCCUGAGUUCAUCUCUGUUUCUGAUUCAAAUGUAGAGAAAUUUUCCUGACCUACCUUCUCUUUUCAACAACAACAACAACAGGGUUUUCUGAAAUUCGGGAGGGACCUGAUAGGGAGAUGAACAAGGAACAGCGACCUGAACCUCUUGAUUUCUUCAUUUGGACU